rnacentral:tRNA from 1 species
CUGGAAUAUAGGCGGUGGCGUGUAAAUCCAUUUAUGGGGGUAAACCCCCCUUACCA